ensembl:lncRNA
UUUAAAAACAACUUAGAAAGCAUAGGAUAUGGAAAUUAUUCUACUAUUGAGUACUUGUAUCAGGCAACAGGUGUUGCGAAAACAUUAAACCAAUAGCAACUGAGCAUUGUUUCUGGAUGUUGGAUUCAGUAGAAAAUUAUAGUUUAAGGUAAGAGUUUUCUCAGAAAAUGCCAGCUUGUCUAUAGAGGACACCGCAUUGCACUAUUAAAGGCAUUCACAUCACCCAGUAUGAUGAUGCAAACGCUCUAUGUGAUAGGAGAUGCACACUGAACUUCUGAAAAAAGUCAUCAGAUUUGGGGGUAUAGCUCAGUGGUAGAGCAUUUGACUGCAGAUCAAGAGGUCCCCAGUUCAAAUCUGGGUGCCCCCUCUUUAAAUACCUUCUUAGACCGCAUAGGAUAUGGAAAUUAUUCUACUAUUGAGUAUUUGUGUCAAGCAACAGGUGUUGCAAAAACUGUAAACCAAUAGCAACUGAGCAUUGUUUCUGGAUGUUGGAUUCAGUAGAAAAUUAUAGUUUAGGUUAAGAAUCUUCUCAGAAAAUGCCAGCUUGUCUAUAGAGGACACAGCAUUGCACUAUUAAAGGCAUUCACAUCACCCAGUAUCAUGAUGCAAACGCUCUAUGUGAUAGGAGAUGCACGCUGAACAUGUGAAACAAGUCAUCAGAUUUGGGGGUAUAGCUCAGUGGUAGAGCAUUUGACUGCAGAUCAAGAGGUCCCCAGUUCAAAUCUGGGUGCCCCCUCUUUAAAUAACUUCUUAGACCACAUAGGAUAUGGAAAUUAUUCUACUAUUGAGUAUUUGUGUCAAGCAACAGGUGUUGCAAAAACGCUUGUCUAUAGAGGACACAACAUUGCACUAUUAAAGGAAUUCACAUCACCCAGUAUGAUGAUGCAAAUGCUCUAUGUGAUAGGAGAUGCACACUGAACUUCUGAAAAAAGUCAUCAGAUUUGGGGGUAUAGCUCAGUGGUAGAGCAUUUGACUGCAGAUCAAGAGGUCCCCAGUUCAAAUCUGGGUGCCCCUUUUUAAAAACAACUUAGAAAGCAUAGGAUAUGGAAAUUAUUCUACUAUUGAGUAUUUGUAUCAGGCAACAGGUGUUGCAAAGGCUGUAAACCAAUAGCAACUGAGCAUCGCGUCUGGUUCUUGGAAUCAGUAGAAAAUUAUAGUUUAGUUUAAGAAUCUUCUCAGAAAAUGCCAGCUUGUCUAUAGAGGACACAGCAUUUCACUAUUAAAGGCAUUCACAUCACUCAGUAUGAUGAUGCAAACGCUCUAUGUUAUAGGAGAUGCACUCUGAACAUCUGAAAAAAGUUAUCAGAUUUGGGGGUAUAGCUCAGUGGUAGAGCAUUUGACUGCAGAUCAAGAG